rnacentral:rRNA from 1 species
AGUGAACGCUGGCGGUAGGCCUAACACAUGCAAGUCGAACGGCAGCACAGGAGAGCUUGCUCUCUGGGUGGCGAGUGGCGGACGGGCGAGGAAUACAUCGGAAUCUACCUUUUCGUGGGGGAUAACGUAGGGAAACUUACGCUAAUACCGCAUACGACCUACGGGUGAAAGUGGGGGACCGCAAGGCCUCACGCGAUUAGAUGAGCCGAUCUCCGAUUUGCUAGUUGGCCGGGAAGGGGCCCACCAAGGGGACGAUCGGUAGCUGGUCUGAGAGGAUGAUCAGCCACACUGGAACGGAGACACGGUCCAGACUCCCACGGGAGGCAGCAGUGGGGAAUAUUGGACAACGGGCGCAAGCCUGAUCCAGCCAUACCGCGUGGGUGAAGAAGGCCUUCGGGUUGUAAAGCCCUUUUGUUGGGAAAGAAAUCCUGUCGAUUAAUACUCGGUGGGGAUGACGGUACCCAAAGAAUAAGCACCGGCUAACUUCGUGCCAGCAGCCGCCGUAAAAC